CGAUUGUUGUCACGCGGAUCAUCGAUCGUCGCCAGACUUAAAUCGAUCAACCUCCAUCGGCACGUCUCCUCCGCAUUCGCACCUUUCACGACCGAAACCCUGCAGCCACCACCAUCAGAAGAUGCAGUAAGAUCGAAACUAUCGAACACGUCUCAAUCCGACGACGGAAAUAGAAUCGAAGGUGGAGGAGAAUUCGAAUUUGGUCACGACGGCCACUACUACCAACCGCGAUUGCUGUCACGCGGAUCAUCGAUCGUCGCCAGACUUAAAUCGAUCAACCUCCAUCGGCACGUCUCCUCCGUAUUCGCACCUUUCACGACCGAAACUCUGCAGCAACCGCCAUCUGAAGAUGCAGUAACCACCUCUGAUCGUAAGGAAGAGAUCCAGAAAGAGCCAGAGAUGGAUCAAGUCGACUCGGAUUCAGUACUGACGAUGGAAGAAGCUUACAUGGCGGCCAAGAGAGGCAACACUAAC
rnacentral:lncRNA from 1 species